rnacentral:rRNA from 1 species
CUAACGCCAUUAAGUGCCCCGCCUGGGGAGUACGGCCGCAAGGCUAAAACUCAAAGGAAUUGACGGGGGGCCCGCACAAGCGGCGGAGCAUGCGGAUUAAUUCGAUGCAACGCGAAGAACCUUACCAAGGCUUGACAUGUGCCAGACCGCCGUGGAAACACGGUUUUCCCCUUUGGGGCUGGUUCACAGGUGGUGCAUGGUUGUCGUCAGCUCGUGUCGUGAGAUGUUGGGUUAAGUCCCGCAACGAGCGCAACCCUCGUUCCAUGUUGCCAGCACGUAGUGGUGGGGACUCAUGGGAGACUGCCGGGGUCAACUCGGAGGAAGGUGGGGACGACGUCAAAUCAUCAUGCCCCUUAUGUCUUGGGCUUCACGCAUGCUACAAUGGCCGGUACAAUGGGUUGCGAUACUGUGAGGUGGAGCUAAUCCCAAAAAGCCGGUCUCAGUUCGGAUUGGGGUCUGCAACUCGACCCCAUGAAGUCGGAGUCGCUAGUAAUCGCAGAUCAGCAACGCUGCGGUGAAUACGUUCCCGGGCCUUGUACACACCGCCCGUCAAGUCACGAAAGUUGGUAACA